GACAGAGUAAAAUAUAAGCCCAAAAGUAAAACCAUCGGGUUUGUAAGUGAUCUUCAGGAAAAUUGAAGUUCAAGACUGUGGUGGUCUUAAGAUUCUUUAGAAUGAGGCAUCAGUCCUCUCCUUUCAAAAUGUUUCCCAGUUCAGAACUCUAAGAAUACUGGCUCUUUUCCCCUUGGUUUGCAGCAGCAUUCAUCCAACUUACAUGGUCUUCUUCUUCUUUUAAAAAAAUUCUAGAUCUUUUGAUGAGACGGAAUCUGAAGGAUCAAGCAAACUGUCCCACCAGCCGGUGCUGCUGUUCCUCCGGGAUCCAUACGUCUUGCCUGCAGCCAGCGAUUUUCCAAAUGUGGUUAUUGAAGGAGUCCUCCAUGGGAUAUUUUACCCCCAUCUGCAGCCCAGGUAGACAUCCUCCAUGGCUCGAAGAAGCUGAAGCAGGUUUCCCGGAGAUCGAUAUCUACCAAAUUAACCUAAACUCUCUGACAUAACAGCUCUAGCCGGUGGUAAAAUUCACAGUCCCAGCUUAAUUCAGGGCAGGGACAUUUCCACGAGAAUGGUGCUUUUAAAAAUAGAAACUGAACCAGGGUGGCCCUGAGGUGAAGGCCGAGUGUUUGAGAAGUAGAAGGUAGCUGCCAAUUUCGAAACUGGUGAAGAGAGGGCUGUGGAAGGUGGCUGGGGGCAGCGAGGGUAACAGAACGAAAGUCCAUCUCUGCUUCAGUUGCACCAUUUGCUAAUCGCACAUCUGAUCCUGAAUCACACUGAGACUGAUGUACUUUGGUAGCUUGUUGUUGUUGUUGUUGUUCAGAUUUUAGGAGACACUAAUCUUUUCAUCAUGACGUUUUCUCGGUCUGUGAGAGAUACGUUCUUACGUGCUGGCACCGUGAGAGUAUCACAGAAACAGGCUAUGCUCCAUGUGAGGGCAGAACUCAACUGGAAAUCAAACUAUGCUGACAGUGUGAGGGCAUUUUUAACAAUGUUGUCAUUGCUGUUCACACGGCAGUGGUGUUGCAUCGUACCUGGGGAUUAGCUUCCAGUGCCAGGACGUACGAUAAAGCAGAGUGUGUGGAGAGUCUUCUCGACAGACGUUUCCAAAGGCGCCAUAUUGGAAAUCUGUGCAUCCAACACAACCAGGUUUUCCUCCUGCGUUGGAAGAAAGGACUGUUUCUUCCGUUGAAGACCAUUUGACGUUAUUGGUGUUCGUUUAGGGCAAUUUUGCAUAAAACCCCAUACCUUUCAACACUAGAAUCACACUCCGUUCUGCAAGAUGCUUGUCUUCUGAGAGACAGAUGUGAACUGACUGCCCGAGGAGACACCACGUGGUAGCACUUGGUUUCCUCAAGGUUCUCCAACCCUCCUCAGGGUUUACUCAUUCAUUUAACUGGUGGGAUUUUCACAGGAUUUACUGUUAUUUUCCUUGUUGUCUCCUUCUCGCUGACCUCCUAUAUGGAAUUAACGUAAGUUCAAUGACUGAUCUAACUCUACCGUACAUCUCACUGACAUUCAUAUUUUGAGUCGUAAAGGACAAAGGCAUAUAUAUGCAAACUUUAUGUAGGUACUGUAUUUGGGCAUUUCAUCAAAAACUAAUUAAUAGCUAGCCUAUUUAUGGUUAUUCGUGUUACUAAGCUUCUGUGUGGGAGAAAAAUAUUUGGAUUCAAAAUGAAUAACUAAAUCAUGGUUUUUGGUCAGGAUCUCAAUAUACAGGUUUAAAGCGUGCUGCAGAGUUUGAGAGAUACAUUUAUGACAGAUGUAUUUCUUCGCGCUGGAAACAGACAGAGGACUCUGUAAUCAAGUGUCACGAACCAAAAAUAACUGAAUACUCACAUGUGGGAGAUAUUUUUUAAAUGUUUUGUUGUUAGCUAUUUUGAGUUAAAUAAAAACAAAGAACAAGAAGUAUUUGAAUUUGUC
ensembl:lncRNA